rnacentral:rRNA from 1 species
GAUGAACGCUGGCGGCGUGCCUAAUACAUGCAAGUCGAGCGAACAGACGAGGAGCUUGCUCCUCUGACGUUAGCGGCGGACGGGUGAGUAACACGUGGAUAACCUACCUAUAAGACUGGGAUAACUUCGGGAAACCGGAGCUAAUACCGGAUAAUAUAUUGAACCGCAUGGUUCAAUAGUGAAAGACGGUUUUGCUGUCACUUAUAGAUGGAUCCGCGCCGCAUUAGCUAGUUGGUAAGGUAACGGCUUACCAAGGCAACGAUGCGUAGCUGACCUGAGAGGGUGAUCGGCCACACUGGAACUGAGACACGGUCCAGACUCCUACGGGAGGCAGCAGUAGGGAAUCUUCCGCAAUGGGCGAAAGCCUGACGGAGCAACGCCGCGUGAGUGAUGAAGGUCUUCGGAUCGUAAAACUCUGUUAUUAGGGAAGAACAAAUGUGUAAGUAACUAUGCACGUCUUGACGGUACCUAAUCAGAAAGCCACGGCUAACUACGUA